CCAAAUGUUUCUGCUCUGUUUUAUUGAACAGAUAAAGAGAAAAACCAAAGGAUCUAAGAGGCCUUCCAGGUUCAUAAACCAGCAGCAUUUCUGAGAGGUUGUCUGCUGCAAUUACAUGAAGUAAACUAGUCACAGAAUUUUAAAAUCUAUAUGAAAACUAACACUUAAGCACUUCAGUAAUGAAUAUGUGUAAAUAUUAAAGGCUACAUCUCUUUAUUGCUCAGAAAAACAAAUACUCUCACUUUGGAAAAGACAAGAGCCUUGAAAUUGAAAUCCGAGUCAAAAUUCACUCCUAAAUCUCUCGUUUUUUGCCUUGGGUUGAGUCUCAGUGUAUUUACUUUGAGGGUCAGCUUCCUUUUUUGGCAUUAAUCCGUUUUAUAAUACUUUCUGAAUUUACUACCGUGUCUCAGCCCCAAGCCCAUGAUUCUUCCAAAAAGCAUCCUCUCUUUCUCUUUAAAACUUCUAGUCAUUGAGAGUAAAUUGUGGUCUAUUUUCAGCUGUAGAUCAGUAUGUGCUAGUGAGUCAUUUUAACAGCAGGACAGUUUAUCAUAAUAGUGAAGAAACCAGUCGAGUGCAGCUGAAGUUGUUGGUUUUUGUCUUUCCACUGAAUUCAAUAGAAACUAAAUGCAAAACCUGCUUGUUUGACAGUUUCCCACAACAAACAAUUUAUUGUGGGUUAAUUCUGUUUCCUGAUAUCCUUGACUUGUGCUGUUUCAACAUCCCACAUUGCAAAUAAAUAACUGCAGCAUUUGCAAUGUCAAGACAUCUAGUUAAUUUCCAGUGAAUGCAAACCUCUGGAGUAGUUGUUCCUCUUUAGUGAAGGACACAGUUCGGUGUUUUCCAAGCAGAGGCACGUAAUGUUUAACUUUAUGACUCAGCUGGACUGUUAGCACCGAGUUAGGCAUCUAUCACAUACUUCUGUCACCUUUACCUGCUUCCUACAUGCAUCUCCGUCACCUGUGCCGUCCUCCAGCACAAACAACUGCACCUCCAAACCCUCUCUGCUCUCUCCCAUUAGCCAAAUAAAUGAGCGAGCGGGACAGCGGCGCUCUAAUUCAGCCUCACUGACUAAUGGACUCAGCUGGCAGCUACAUCUGCUCGCCAUUGGGGAGCGCCAAGGCUGUUCACAUGCAUUAGCAGCAGAUCUCUAUUCCAGAAGCUUGUUCAGGUAGCGGCAGACCAGCUUGAGGCCACGUUGGACCCAAGAGGAAUUGCCUUGCUCUGACCAGCAAAUAUGGGAAGUGAACCUUACGGCCCAAAAUAGAACAAAAUCAAUGGGGCUGUGGAGCUUGUCUGUGCCAUGCAAAAGCAAAUGCCUGAGCCAUUGAUUUUUCCAUCUGAAUUAUGUGCCAUCGACCCCCUUGAAGUCCUCUUAAUUAGAGCUGUAUUAACAGGAGGAUAAAAGAGUGAGGGGAAGCCUAUAGAUGCUGAUAAAUGUUCGAGGGGCGACUCAAGCCAAAAUCCUAAUAGUUCUCCUUUCCGGAUGAGUCAAACGCAUUUUUGUGCGUACUUUACCAGACCACGUAAAGGUCUACUUCACAUAAUAGCACCUUUUUGAGUCCCAACAGUAGCUGGAAGUGGCUGCACUCGGUGCUGAUAGCUUCUGUACACAGAGGGAUUGAAACUGUCAGUAGAACUCUCCCUCAUAUUAGAACUAAUCUGCCACUGAGCAACUUUAUCCAGCCCCGAUUAGUCACGGAAAAGGAGGCUGUGUGCUGCCGACUGAAGCUCUGACAUCUCAGCGCUUCCCUGUAAUGCACCGAGGAGGUUGGAGAGGAGCUGGCAGCGAGCGGUCAUUAGUGUCUGGAGGAUGGGUGUAUUCUCUGUCACCGACAAUGAAAUCGAUUUGUUCUGUGGAGGCCUGAGUGUCUGAUAUCACACCGGUAGUUGUCAGGAGAAUCACUUAACUCCCAGACUAGUCAGCUCAACAGCUGGAACAUUUUUUGACAUAAAAUUGCAGAGUUCAGUCCAGACAAAAGAAACAUUUAUGUUGUUUUAGGAAACCCAUUAUGAAAGUCAUCGUCGCUUCAUCAGCUCGAACAAAAAGUACAAGCCACUUGAGCUGAAUUCUUUACGCUUGAAGCGAAGACAGACAUCUGGAUUGUUUUCUUGUUUUCUUUUUAACAAAGACAGCUGUGUUUUCUGCUUUAUCAGUGUUUGGGCUCAAAGAGGGGUCUGAUUUCUGGACUCCUUUUGAAUUGAUGAUCUGCUUGCUGGCUGUGGAGGAACAGCAGUGAUGAAGGAAGACGCAGACAAGACUCUAAAAGCUUCACAGGUUGUGCUGUUUGUCUGAUCCAGAUUUAGAUGAACCCAGCUCAAGCCUUCAGACUUGGCAUCAUGACUUUGGAAUUCGUAAAAGGUUUUCCUAAUAACCAAAUCAGUCUCAAUCUUAAUCAAUGGCUUAUGUUAUCUGUUUAAAUAUGUAUUUUUGACCUUGGAAUUAAUUGAAAGGUGGUACGUUUCCUCACAGUUGAGACAGGUGUGACAUUUUUGCCAGAGAAAUAAGUCAUUUACUUAUAUUGCUAUAAAUAGACCAUCUAUAAAUAGAUCAUUUUCAUUCCUUUUUUUUUCUUCCUGAUUUCUAAUGCAAUCAAAUGCCAGCUAUUGAAGCUGGAAGUCAAAUCAACACAUUCUCUGCUUUGUAACCCGUUUGCAAUUCAGCACAGCAGAUUUUGCAACACAUUGCACAAAGCUCUUACGAAAAAACACUGGAAAUCUUGCAUAAAGUCAUUUGUUUGCCCUAUUAUUUAAUCUGCCACACCUAUGGACUAAGUGACCAAUACAUGGCUCAUCUUUCCAGGCACCUAAUUGCUUAAGUGUUAACUCAACAAUCAGGAUGUAAACACUAUAAUAAGACCACAAUGAGAAUCUUUUUGCAUAAAAAGUGAAAGCAGGAAGAGAAAGAGUGAGAGAUUGGGGCAGACAGGUAUAUUGAAAAAAAGGAAUUUUGAUUAAAUCCAGGCACUAUUUUUGACUGCGUUAUCCACCAAUGCUGAGAACAGGUGAACAGAGAAUCCAUUAUAAUUCAGGAUUCAACAAACCAUAGUGCAUAUUUAAGCUGUGUAUUAAAUUACUGCUUUGUCAUACUAUAGCUGUACAAGAUCCCUGCUCAAUUUGUAGAGAUUUUGAAUGUUGAGUGAGACACGGGAAGCAACAAUGAUCAGUUUUCAUUUAAUGAAUAAUAAAAUUUACACUCUAAUCCAUUUUAUAAGAUACAACACAGUUUUCAACAUCUACAGAGGUCAGUAUCCUCCAUCCAAACCAAGAGCACAUGAAGCACAUUUACAGGUUGACUCAGGAUUUCUGAAAGAAUCAAAGAUCGGAGACAUGAAACGGUGAAUGUAAGUGCAUAGCUCUACACACAGAACAGUAUUUUUCCCAGCGUACUGGACUACACCAUACUGACUGUUUUUGUUGUUGUUCUUUUCAGAGAGACCUGGAAUGCUAAUGUGAUCCCACAUGACUUUAUUCUUAUCGAUGAUUCUGGCAUCAACCUCACAGACCAGGAGAAAGGGAAUGGGCAUCAGUGGAGUCAUUGUAGAUGCACAUUUUUGGACAGAGUGCAUGACAUUCUGGUGGAUGAUGCUGAGGAACAGCACAGAGAUGUUGUAGUAUAAAACAAUGCUGGCUUCUGUUGUGCAGCUCUGCUCCAAAACUGGUUUAUUGAACAGCCACUGUUUCUUAUUCAAUAUCUUCCGUCCUCCUCUCCAUUUCUCAGUCCAGAUGAAGACAGGUGUAUGACUAUGAGCGCUACUGUAUGUGCGGAUUUCUCUUUAGCAGGCAAUAAAAGAGGCAGGUGAUAAGAUUGAAGUGGGUGCUGGAGAUGAUUCUCGAAGCACUUCUUUCCUCACUAGGAGAAGAUAUUGUCAGUGAUGUUGAUGAGGUGCUGUGGACACAUCUGGACAGCGAGUUUGUUUUUCACUUUUCUGAAUGUUUUUUUCAGUUUUACAGAGCUGUAUUUCAUUCACAAAGCUGCAAUAUGUACUGCACUGUAUGUGCUGUGCUCAUUUCUUGUGGAGAAACAUAGAGAGGAUUUUUUUUUCAACAGUAUAUUUAUUUCUGCACAUAUUUCUGUAGGGCUGCACAGUGGCUUGGUGGUUAGCGGUUUCACCUCGCAGCUGGAAGAUCGCCGGUUCUUUCUGCAAGGAGUUUGCAUGUUCUCCCUGUACAUGUGUGGGUUUUCUCUGGGUUCUCCGGCUUCCUCCCACAGUCCAAAAAAUGCUCAGGUUAAUUAGUAACUCUAACUUGUCCAUAGGUGUGAAUGUGAGUGUGGUUGUUUGUCUGUAUAUGUAGCCCUGUGAUAGACUGGUGACCUGUCCAGGGUGUCACCUGUCUUCACCCAAAGUCAGCUGGGAUAGAUUCCAGCCUCCUGUGACCCUAAUGAGGAUUAAGCGGUGUAUAGAUAAUGGAUGGAUGGAUCUAUAUUUCCGUAGACUUGAACAGAAAUACCAUAAUGACAUAGCCUGUGAUAAAAAUCCAGCAAUAUAAAUGAAAUGAAUGCCAUUUGGUGCCAAAUUCAGAUUUUGAUAAGCACUUUUGUAGUUCUUGUGUUUCAGAAAGUAAACUUUGUUUUCUUCAAUGUGUUUUUGAAGUUGCUAAAACUGCACUCUUUAGUUUCUUUGAGCACAACAGCCAAGUAUGACUUUCAGCAAGAAGAAUACAAGCCACACAUUGUAUCACCAAAAUCCCCAAAUUUUCUUACAAAUGCCAAAGACUUGACCUCAAAGGCAACUCCAGGCCUUCACAAACAACACAGCAGUUUGAACAUGUGAGUCCAAAUCUGGCUCAUGACAUCCUAAUGUGAUACUUUGCUGACACCAAUUAGGAAAUUUGGCUUUUUUUUUUCUUCUUGUUUUCCUCUGGGGAAGUAAAAGGUCAGGGUGAACUGCAAAACGGCUCCAGUAGAAAUGGGAGGAAUUUCGUUGUUGUGCUUCCAGACAGUCACAGGUUUUAACACAGUGGUACCAUUGACGAUUAGUGUUUUUGCUCACCAACCCACUCAGUGCUGUUAUUCUGUAUGAAGUUAUUAAUGGUAACCCCGUGCCAACCUUUCUAUACCUCAUAACAUGACAGCUUUUGUAUCCUCUUUCCUUUUUACUGGUUGACUGCCUGACUUUACGUGACCUCGUAUGACUUUCAGACUCUUGAGUAAGUGUUUCUUUUAAAAAAAAAAAAAAAUCACAUGUUUGUUGUUCUGUACGUACAGUACAUUUACUUACAAAGGCGAAAGGCUCUUAGCCUCUUUAGCCAACACCCAUAUCUAAAGGCUGCCUGACUCACUGUGUGGCACAAUGUGGGAGGACAGUGAUACUGAGACGAGUCAAAAGAGUAGUCUUAAAGAGAAGAAAAGGGCUGGGUGGGUGUCAUCUUAACAAUGGAAACUGUGUCCAAGAAGUUCAUCAGCAUUGCAGAAGAUCCUCUUUCCUGUCACUUACUACAGUGAUUCAUAGAAUUCAGAAUAACAAAUUCAUCAGAGUUGUUGUCUGAGAGGUGGUUUCUGCUGAAUAAUGGUUUCAUUUCACCUUAGAAUGUAGGAAUUGCAUUGUCAUGCCUGCAUCACCAGACACUAGAUCCUGCCAUGAACCUGGACAUCACUGAAGACAGCAAUUACAGUUUAAUUUUUAAGUUGAUGUGCUGUGAAUUUGUGAGACAUGUCACCCUGAUUUCUUAUUUCUAACACCUCACUGUCUCUCCACAGUCUACUUCCUUCACAGUUGUCUUUCAGGGCAGACAUAUGACAAAUGUUGAUCCUGAGUGACAGAAAUGUCGCAUGAGUUCUGAGUCAUAAUAGUAAUGAAUUUUCAUGAUACAAUUAUUGUGGCCAAAAAAAUUCACGAAAAUUAUAUUUUAGGGAAUUCUGUCGAAAAUUUGUGGGGGUAAUAAUCACUGUUCCCUCUAAGCUGCGCGCGUGCGCAAUUGUGCACUGCUGACACGGUCUCCGCGCACAGAAAAUCUAUGCUGCGCACAAAAAAAAAAAUCCAACCUAAAUUGUAAAUAAAAUAAACACGUAACAAUUCAUUCUGUGCUAUUUUUCAGUGUGAGUCAGUGAGUGACCGGUGACUGGCUGCUGCAGCCAAUGAUGCAAUUCACAUACGUAUUUACCAUACCAUAGACUGUAUAUAAUAGUAUUUACGCAGCUAAUCAACGUCAGGCGUCCUUAUGUGCGGCCAUCGUUGUUGUCAUAGAUAUGAAUGAGUAGAUAGGACACGCCCCUUUGAGCUGCGGCUACAGCGAGGCUAAGCUAGUGGGGCCAAAGUUUCAGUGCAUUCCGUUGAUGUAGACGGCGUGAAAACGGAAACAAGUAUGCCGGCUCACUGUGCUGCAUACAAUUACACACUGCGUCGUACGAUUGAGACAAGGAAACUUGGAAUGACUUUUCAUAGGUUUCCCAGAGACUAUGGGUUGAGGAGGAAUUGGAAGUUUUUCGGCUUAGACCUGGUGUCAUUCCAUCAGUGUUAAACUUCCUGGCUCAUCUUGGAAGAGUACGUGCCAGAAAGACCACGACCAAGCAGCCUUGAGAUCUUAGGCAGCGUCUCCCUGAGGUCUCUCUCUAUCUCCCCACACAUGCACCAACCACUGGAACACAUCUCCAAAGUUCUGCUGGACCAGCUCAGCUUCCCCUCAGAAGAAGUGCCGCCACCUGCCAGAUGAAGGAGCCUUUUGAGAGGCAGCUGGCAUCGUGAUUGGACUGUACUUUGGUCUGUUCCAAUCCAGCUUCAGCUCCAGAGACGGCAGGCGGGACGAGUCAACGGAGGCCUGGUGGACGAAGGCAUGCAGCUGAGUACAAUACAGAAAACAACAGAGGAGGAGUGCAGCGACCCAGGGCCAGAACAACCAGAGUAGCAUCGUAUGUCUCUUAGAAAACAUCAUAGUAUAGCCUUUGGUAUGAAAAAAACAGCAUAAUAUACAUCGUAUAUUGUACAAAUAACAAGUCAAAGGAAAGAGACAUAUAUUGUAGAAUUGUAGUAAUUGUGGGCUGACUGAUUUACUGAUUAUCAAUAUUUUAUUUUUUACUGAUUUACGGUAAUAAAUACAUUUAAAAAUGG